GAUCACAAGGCAAGGGAUCCAAGACAUAUACGCUUUUUGAGCAUAUGCAAAUCAUCAAAAGUAACCAAUGAGAUCUAUAUUUAUAUAUAACCAGUUUUG